AACAGAAAAAAAGAAAAGAAAACACCCACGUCUCGCAGUCCCACCCGUCGUUCGCCUCGCCGGCCGCCGCUCGUCCCCACUGCCGCCGCCGGUUGCCCUCGCCAUCAACGCAAUGUCUCUCGCCGCCGCGCUCUCCGCUAUCUCGCACCCACCCCUGGCCCCGCCUGCAAGUCCUGCUCGCCCCUUGCCGCUGCCCCUCGCCGUUGCUCAUCUGACAAACAACCAGCGCCAGAGCUGAUGCCAGCGACCUCCAUCGAGCAACGCACAUCAAAAAGGAGUGUGAAUCCUUUCCAGACAGAGACCAGGUUGGACAAGCCUAAAACUUAAAAGAAAUGGAAUGUGGCUGUAUGUUUUACAGGUAUAUGUUCUCUGAUUUUAUUGCUUUAAGCAAGAUAUACUUUGCAUAACAGGACUUGAAGCGCUGGUUCCAUGCCCUCGACUACCUGGAUCUGAAACUGGAGAAGAUUAUGCGAGUCUAAAAAUGUUACUUGUUUUAAGAAGCCUGAUGACUUUCCCAACUUAUACUGCCGAUAUAAAAUUAUCAAUCUUUUCCUUGUAUCAACAUGAUGGUCAUGAUGCUGUAAAUGUUUGGAAUUUUUUAGGAAAUGCAGUUCUGCUAGAUUAGAUGUCCUUUCUAAUGUUUUUGGUGAUGACAUUCUUCCUACUUUAAUGCCUUUGAUACAGGUAUUUUGUACUUCUGGUUCUGUACUUAUUAUGGUUAGUAGUAUCAUUUAUUAAAAGGUUUACUUGAUUGGAAGCUGUGAUGCAUUGUCCUGGGCUGUUACUCAAGUUCUAUAUAUUUAUGGCAUUUGCAUUUACCCGAUUUUGCAAAUUGUAGAAUUUGAUUUCAAACACAAGCAAAAACUUCCAAGUACUAUAUUCUUUUGCAAACUGGUGUAGUUGUUCAUGAUUAGUUGAUAACUUGUAAUCUAGCAGGUCUUGAAUUUGAUCUUUGAGUUCUUUCACCUGAUAUAUAUUUGCAUGUGUCUAGCAGUAUAGCACGGUUCAAAGAUCAAAUGAAAUUAACUUUAUUUCUUAUCUGAAAAUUGUUUCAUGUGUUUAUUUCCUUUUCUGUUCUUAGGAAAUGCUAACUAUAGCUUAUUUUGUUUUUGUUAUCUUUUACAGGCAUUUAAUUCACUUAGUUAUACCAAUUUAAUGCAUAUUUCUCGGUUGCUGAUACAAUUGACUUUUCACAGUAUGACCUGCCAUUGAAAAUAGUUUCCUACAAGGACCUCUAUGGCUGGACAAUGGAUGAUAUUGUGAAAGCAAUUGCUUUAAAAAAUAAUUGCACUUUCUGUGGUGUUUUUCGAAGUCAGGCACUGGACUGAGGUGCUACUCUCUUGAAAGUUGACAAGAUUGUAACUGGGCAUAACACAGAUGACAUUGCAGAGACUGUGCUAUUGAAUAUCUUACGUGGUGAUAUUGCACGGUUAAGUAGAUGCACCUUUAUAACAAACGACGAAGAUGGGCCAAUCCCAAGAUGCAAGCCUUUCAAAUACACCUAUGAGAAGGAGAUUGUUAUAUAUCCUUACUAAUUGCAAAAUUGAAAUAUCCUGUAUAUUAUCAUGUGUAAUUAUGUUCUAUCCAUGAAUUGUAUUUUUAUGAUCUUUAUUUAUAUAUCCUUGACCUUAUGACACAUGCACAUUUCAAAAAGGCAGGAUUACUCCACAGAAUGUAAAUUUUGUUUCCUUCCCAUACAUAGAUGUUCAACCGUCACUAACCGGCAUUCUGUAAUCAAUCAUUAUGAAUAUUUAUACUGCUUUCUGUUAUA